rnacentral:rRNA from 1 species
GACAGAGGUGCCGAGCGUUAGGCGGAAUCACUGGGCUUAAAGCGUGUGUAGGCGGAUCGUUAAGUCCCUUGUGAAAUCCCACGGCUCAACCGUGGAACUGCUUGGUAUACUGGCGGUCUUGAGCCAGCUAGGGGCUACCGGAACAAAUGGUGGAGCGGUGAAAUGCGUAGAUAUCAUUUGGAACGCCAAUGGUGAAAACAGGUAGCUGGGGCUGUGCUGACGCUGAGACACGAAAGCCAGGGGAGCGAACGGG